rnacentral:rRNA from 1 species
CCUUGUCCUUAGUUGCUACGCAAGAGCACUCUAAGGAGACUGCCGGUGACAAACCGGAGGAAGGUGGGGAUGACGUCAAUUCCUCAUGGCCCUUAUGGGUAGGGCUUCACACGUCAUACAAUGGUCGGAACAGAGGGCUGCCAACCCGUGAGGGGGAGCUAAUCCCAGAAAACCGAUCGUAGUCCGGAUCGUAGUCUGCAACUCGACUACGUGAAGCUGGAAUCGCUAGUAAUCGCGGAUCAGCAUGCCGCGGUGAAUACGUUCCCGGGUCUUGUACACACCGCCCGUCACACCAUGGGAGUGGGUUUUACCAGAAGUGGCUAGUCUAACCGCAAGGAGGACGGUCACCACGGUAGGAUUCAUGACUGGGGUGAAGUCGUAACAAGGUAGCCGUAUCGGAAGGUGCGGCUGGAUCA